GAUGAACGCUGGCGGCGUGCCUAAUACAUGCAAGUCGAACGAGGUGCUUGAGUAGCAAUACGAGAGUAUCCUAGUGGCGAACGGGUGAGUAACGCGUUGGUGACCUACCCCAAAGUGUGGGAUAACAGUCCGAAAGGAUUGCUAAUACCGCAUGUGGUCUUCGGGUUUAGAAACCGAUGACGAAAGCAGCAAUGCGCUUUGGGAGGGGACCUGCGUCCCAUCAGCAGUUGGUGAGGUAACGGCUCACCAAGGCGACGAC
rnacentral:rRNA from 1 species